AGUGAACGCUGGCGGUAGGCCUAACACAUGCAAGUCGAACGGCAGCACAGUAAGAGCUUGCUCUUACGGGUGGCGAGUGGCGGACGGGUGAGGAAUACAUCGGAAUCUACUUUUUCGUGGGGGAUAACGUAGGGAAACUUACGCUAAUACCGCAUACGACCUACGGGUGAAAGCAGGGGAUCUUCGGACCUUGCGCGAUUGAAUGAGCUGAUGUCGGAUUAGCUAGUUGGCGGGGUAAAGGCCCACCAAGGCGACGAUCCGUAGCUGGUCUGAGAGGAUGAUCAGCCACACUGGAACUGAGACACGGUCCAGACUCCUACGGGAGGCAGCAGUGGGGAAUAUUGGACAAUGGGCGCAAGCCUGAUCCAGCCAUACCGCGUGAGUGAAGAAGGCCUUCGGGUUGUAAAGCCCUUUUGUUGGGAAAGAAAAGCAGCAGGUUAAUACCCCGCUGUUCUGACGGUACCCAAAGAAUAAGCACCGGCUAACUUCGUG
rnacentral:rRNA from 1 species